AAUGUAUGGUUGUCGAGUGAUCCAAAAGGUAUGUGUACUCAGUGACUCUCCAUGUGAUACUUACAUUAUGAUAGUGUUUUUCUCAAUUAUACAAUAGUGCUGUUUACUUAUAUGGUUCUGUCUUAAUAGCUAAUGUUGGAGUUGCUACCAAUUGAUUUCCGCUAGUAUCUUGGGGCCUAGUCAGGCAUGACAUUAUAAAAGUUCCAGAUUGGCAUGCAGGAUUCAGGAAUUUAUCCCCACUGCACAGCGUUUGAGUAAUUGAAUUGAGUCAAAUUGCUUCAACCAGCCAAAAUUAUGGGUUUCUGUUGCAUUCCUCAAAUUUUGGAUAUUGUUAAUUUUGAGUUCAAUGCAUAGACAUCUGAUCUUUUGUUACACUUGAGUUGGGAUGGGAAGUCCCUCAUGUUCAGGGUUAACUACUUGGGUUUUUUUGUUUGGGGCAAAAUUUUAAAAUUUAAAACAUGAACAUAAUUUUAAUGUAUUUUUUUAUUAAAAAAAAUUACUGUUUGUCCCCCUUAAAAUUUUCCCUAUAAUUUUUAAAAAAUUAAUGUUUGUUCCUCC
rnacentral:misc_RNA from 1 species